rnacentral:rRNA from 1 species
GAGUUUGAUCUUGGCUCAGGAUGAACGCUGGCGGCGUGCUUAACACAUGCAAGUCGAACGAGGAAUUUUAAAUGAGACUUCGGUGGAUUUUAAAAUUCUUAGUGGCGGACGGGUGAGUAACGCGUGGGCAACCUGCCCUGUACAGGGGGGACAACAGCUGGAAACGGCUGCUAAUACCGCAUAAGACCACGGAGCCGCAUGGCUCAGUGGGAAAAACUCCGGUGGUACAGGAUGGGCCCGCGUUGGAUUAGGUAGUUGGUGAGGUAACGGCCCACCAAGCCGACGAUCCAUAGCCGACCUGAGAGGGUGACCGGCCACGUUGGGACUGAGACACGGCCCAAACUCCUACGGGAGGCAGCAGUGGGGAAUCUUCCGCAAUGGGCGAAAGCCUGACGGAGCAACGCCGCGUGAGUGAAGAAUUAUUUCGGUAUGUAAAGCUCUAUCAGCAGGGAAGAAAAUGACGGUAUCUGACUAAGAAGCCCCGGCUAACUACGUGCCAGCAGCCGCCGUAAG